AGGACACUCACAUGUCAAGAAAGCAAAGUAUAAGAUACCUGUCAAUUAAAUUUCUAUCUACUGGAAACCAACUGGUAUAAAGUUAACAUGCAUGAUUAUUUACUAAAGUGAGAAUUGUCAGCAAUUGAGAGGGAAUACAUAGUGAAUUUCACAUUUAAGGCCAAAACAGUAAAAAUGGAAGCAUUGCUGAUGGAAAUUUGUAACAGUUUGUCUAAUUUGGUCUUAAGUUUGAAAUUCACUUUGAACUCCCAGGAAUUCUCAUUUUAGUAAAUAUCCCUGAUCAUUUGAAUCUCUUUGAUUUCAUUCUAUUGUAGGUGUUCCUUGUGUGCUGCACAUCCUUUCAUAACACUGCAUUUGAUCUUGAGUUAAAACUUUAGUGAGUGGUUAUUUAUAUAUUUUUAUUUAAUAAAAAAAAAUGUUUUUACCAGUUGCAUAGUGAUUUCCCAAAUUUCAUGCUCAAGCAUGUUCAUUUUGAUUUGUGAUGCUUAAUUCUGCCACUGACACCAAAAAUUCUAACAUUUAGUGAUGGAACUAAUUAUUAUUCUGGCAUUUAUAAAGCACCAACUUAUUCCACAGUGCUGUACAAGCAGGGAAAAUAGACAAUACAGACAAAUCAAUACAAAAGGAAUAUAGAAGCUUGCCUGUGAGCAGAGAUUAACAUUUACAGCCCUGUUAUACUAAGUAAACUAGCUUGUGAGCUUACAAUCUAAAGGUUAUAAAGGGGACCUGAGCCAAGAGGGAACAAGGGGAGCUUAGAAGGACAGGCAUUUGCACAAUUGAAUUGAAGAGGUAAUCAGGGAAAUACUAAACACCUGGAAAGGCAUGCAUAGUGAAAAAAUGGACUAUAUUGCUGGAGAGGCCCUGAGGAGAUAGCGCAGCUAAGCAGACAAGGGCCCAUGUAGGAGUGUGG